AGGACGAACGCUGGCGGUGUGCUUCACACAUGCAAGUCGAACGAGGUAGCAAUACCUAGUGGCGGACGGGUGAGUAACGCGUGGGAAUCUGCCUUUAGAUGGGGGAUAACGGGCCGAAAGGUCCGCUAAUACCGCAUAGGCCGCAAGGUUAAAGGAGUAAUCCGUCUAAAGAUGAGCCCGCGUCCGAUUAGCUAGUUGGUAGGGUAAAAGCCUACCAAGGCGACGAUCGGUAGCUGGUCUGAGAGGAUGAUCAGCCACAAUGGGACUGAGACACGGCCCAUACUCCUACGGGAGGCAGCAGUGGGGAAUUUUGUGCAAUGGGCGAAAGCCUGACACAGCGACACCGCGUGAGCGAAGAAGCCCUUUGGGGUGUAAAGCGCUUUUGUCAGGGAAGAAACGCUCCGGGCUAAUACCUUGGAGUAAUGACGGUACCUGAAGAAUAAGCACCGGCUAACUACGUGCCAGCAGCCGC
rnacentral:rRNA from 1 species